AUGGCAAAACCAAGACUAUCACUAGUGUUCUUUUUUCUAUUACAUCACACUUUGGCUUUUCUGUGCCCAUUCUUCUUUCUUGUUAAUGAAUCAUCUAGCCUUACCCACUUCCUUCCUAGCUUUUUUGAUCUCUGUCCCUUCCUUCCCAUCCCCAGUGCUGUCACCAAGUCCAGGCACCGGUUGCCCUUGCCUAGAAGAUGGUGGUUGACUGACUGGCCUCAGGACUGCCUGUCUCUCUUCCUGCAACUGGGCAGCUAUGAGAACAAAGGACAUGGAGUGAUCUUCAGGGCACUGUACUGGCUCCACAUUCCUAGAGAUGCACUUCGUCCCAUGAAGGCUUUAUUUUAAUAGACAUUUAGUUACACAUCCUAUGAAGUAAGAAAGAGAAAUGAAUGAAUCUUGCUGAAAGAAAAAAAAAAAACUUGAAGAACUACACCUGUGCAAUGACACGUUCAGCUAUUAUGUCCUAAAGAUAUAACACAUUCCUUACAUUGUCAACGAGGGAAAGAUAAUUUAUGUGGUGCUCCCUAAAUACCAUGUUUGUUGCACCAAACUAUGGGAAAGAUUUAUUUGUUUUUCACUUGAAAUCACUGUGAAUCUUAUUACCCCAAAGACAUAAAUAGACUCCAUAUUUCUGGCAUUC
rnacentral:lncRNA from 1 species